CCCUACUCCUACGGGAGGCAGCAGUAGGGAAUCUUCCGCAAUGGACGAAAGUCUGACGGAGCAACGCCGCGUGAGUGAUGAAGGCUUUCGGGUCGUAAAACUCUGUUGUUAGGGAAGAACAAGUACGAGAGUAACUGCUCGUACCUUGACGGUACCUAACCAGAAAGCCACGGCUAACUACGUGCCAGCAGCCGCGGUAAUAAGG
rnacentral:rRNA from 1 species